rnacentral:rRNA from 1 species
GUGGGGAAUAUUGGACAAUGGGGGGAACCCUGAUCCAGCCAUGCCGCGUGUGUGAAGAAGGCCUUUUGGUUGUAAAGCACUUUAAGCGGGGAGGAGGCUCUUGAGGAUAAUACCCUUGAUGAGUGGACGUUACCCGCAGAAUAAGCACCGGCUAACUCUGUGCCAGCAGCCGCGGUAAUACAGAGGGUGCGAGCGUUAAUCGGAUUUACUGGGCGUAAAGCGUGCGUAGGCGGCUGAAUAAGUCGGAUGUGAAAUCCCCGAGCUUAACUUGGGAAUUGCAUACGAUACUGUUUGGCUAGAGUAUGGGAGAGGAUGGUAGAAUUCCAGGUGUAGCGGUGAAAUGCGUAGAGAUCUGGAGGAAUACCGAUGGCGAAGGCAGCCAUCUGGCCUAAUACUGACGCUGAGGUACGAAAGCAUGGGGAGCAAACAGGAUUAGAAACCCUGGUAGUCC